rnacentral:rRNA from 1 species
CCUACGGGUGGCAGCAGUGAGGAAUAUUGGUCAAUGGACGAGAGUCUGAACCCGCCAAGUAGCGUGAAGGAUGACUGCCCUAUGGGUUGUAAACUUCUUUUAUAAAGGAAUAAAACGAGGCACGUGUGCCUUUUUGCAUGUACUUUAUGAAUAAGGAUCGGCUAACUCCGUGCAAGCAGCCGCGGUAAUACGGAGGAUCCGAGCGUUAUCCGGAUUUAUUGGGUUUAAAGGGAGCGUAGAUGGGUUGUUAAGUCAGUUGUGAAAGUUUGCGGCUCAACCGUAAAAUUGCAAUUGAUACUGGCAGUCUGGAGUACAGUUGAGGUAAGCGGAAUUCGUGGUGUAGCGGUGAAAUGCUUAGAUAUCACGAAGAACCCCGAUUGCGAAGGCAGCUUACUAAACUGUGACUGACAUUGAUGCUCGAAAGUGUGGGUAUCAAACAGGAUUAGAUACCCGUGUAGUC